CAGUCGUACGAGUUCUCGUUGAUGAUCGGUGCUUGCACCGAGAUUCAACAUGGAACGAGUGGCGGACGGGUGAGUAACACGUGGGUAACCUGCCCUUAAGUGGGGGAUAACAUUUGGAAACAGAUGCUAAUACCGCAUAGAUCCAAGAACCGCAUGGUUCUUGGCUGAAAGAUGGCGUAAGCUAUCGCUUUUGGAUGGACCCGCGGCGUAUUAGCUAGUUGGUGAGGUAAUGGCUCACCAAGGCGAUGAUACGUAGCCGAACUGAGAGGUUGAUCGGCCACAUUGGGACUGAGACACGGCCCAAACUCCUACGGGAGGCAGCAGUAGGGAAUCUUCCACAAUGGACGCAAGUCUGAUGGAGCAACGCCGCGUGAGUGAAGAAGGCUUUCGGGUCGUAAAACUCUGUUGUUGGAGAAGAAUGGUCGGCAGAGUAACUGUUGUCGGCGUGACGGUAUCCAACCAGAAAGCCACGGCUAACUACGUGCCAGCAGCCGCGGUAAUACGUAGGUGGCAAGCGUUAUCCGGAUUUAUUGGGCGUAAAGCGAGCGCAGGCGGUUUUUUAAGUCUGAUGUGAAAGCCCUCGGCUUAACCGAGGAAGCGCAUCGGAAACUGGGAAACUUGAGUGCAGAAGAGGACAGUGGAACUCCAUGUGUAGCGGUGAAAUGCGUAGAUAUAUGGAAGAACACCAGUGGCGAAGGCGGCUGUCUGGUCUGUAACUGACGCUGAGGCUCGAAAGCAUGGGUAGCGAACAGGAUUAGAUACCCUGGUAGUCCAUGCCGUAAACGAUGAAUGCUAGGUGUUGGAGGGUUUCCGCCCUUCAGUGCCGCAGCUAACGCAU
rnacentral:rRNA from 1 species